CGGACGGGUGAGUAAUGUCUGGGAAACUGCCUGAUGGAGGGGGGUAACUACUGGAAACGGUAGCUAAUACCGCAUAACGUCGCAAGACCAAAGAGGGGGACCUUCGGGCCUCUUGCCAUCGGAUGUGCCCAGAUGGGAUUAGCUAGUAGGUGGGGUAACGGCUCACCUAGGCGACGAUCCCUAGCUGGUCCGAGAGGAUGACCAGCCACACUGGAACUGAGACACGGUCCAG
rnacentral:rRNA from 1 species